CAAAUAAUAAAUUACCCAAUACAUGAUAAACCUGUCAGUACCCAAAAUACCCUUUAGUUGGCAGACCAAUUCUGCGGCCUGCCAUUUCUCACCAACCCCAAAACAGCAACUUCACCCUGCUUUCGUUUCCUUCUUAUUAAACCAAACUCCCUUCUCCUCUUCGGUCCCCAAGGGUUCCUUUUUUUUCGAUCCUUACAAACUUCCCAUGUUAUAACGUAUCAUUCAAAGAGCCAUGCUCUAGCUUUCUCUCCAUUUUUAAUGUCCAUAAAUCCAUCUCUCUGAUACUACUGCUCUCUUCUCUUUAUUUUUCUCUAUCUUCCCUCUCAUGGAGGCUAAUUCCCUGCUACAUUCUUCCUCACCAAGCUCUGCUAUUUUCUUGAGCUCUCAAUCAAAUUUGAUCAAUUUUGGGAGAACCCAGUUGAGAUUUAAGCCUGGAAUCCUGAAACAGAGCAUUAAAUGGGACAGUGAUUGGAUAAGCAGAGGAGUGUUUUUGAAGGAGGAGAGGCGGAGAGGAGGGUGCGUUGUGAAGUGUACGGCAGAAAGUGUAGAGAGAGGAAUGUUGAUGGGAGGGAGAGAGGGUGAAGUUAGUAUCGUGUCGGAGAGAUACAAGGUGGUGGCUUUAACGGCCUGCGUUAUGUGCCUUUGUAAUGCUGAUCGCGUUGUCAUGUCUGUUGCUGUUGUUCCCCUUGCUGCCAAAUACGGUUGGUCCAGUUCCUUUCUGGGCAUCGUCCAGUCAUCGUUUCUAUGGGGAUACAUAUUCUCAUCAGUAAUAGGAGGAGCCUUGGUGGACAAGUAUGGAGGAAAAAGAGUGUUGGCAUGGGGCGUGGGGCUGUGGUCUUUGGCCACUCUUCUCACUCCAUGGGCUGCUAAUCACUCCACCGCCAGCCUCUUGGCCGUUCGUGCCUUCUUUGGACUUGCUGAGGGUGUAGCUUUGCCUUCCAUGAGCACCCUCUUAUCAAGGUGGUUUCCAAGCCAUGAACGAGCAAGUGCAGUUGGAAUUUCUAUGGCUGGAUUUCAUCUUGGAAAUGUUAUAGGCUUGCUUUUAACUCCAGUUAUGUUAUCAACUAUUGGAAUUUCUGGUCCUUUUAUUCUAUUCUCUUCCCUUGGUCUCCUAUGGUUAACAACAUGGGCAAGUGGAGUUACCAGUGAUCCACGAAAUAGCCCUUUUAUCAGUAAAUCAGAGUUGCGAUUGAUUGAAGCUGGUAAAACUGAUUCUUCAACAAACAAAGGCGAGCUUCCACCACUACGCCUCCUAUUCUCGAAACUACCAACAUGGGCAAUUAUUUUUGCUAAUGUAACUAACAAUUGGGGUUACUUUGUUCUUCUCUCAUGGAUGCCUGUCUAUUUCAAGACAGUAUUUAAUGUGAACUUGAAGCAAGCAGCUUGGUUUAGUGCUGUUCCAUGGGCAACAAUGGCAAUUUCUGGUUACAUUGCAGGAGCAGCAUCAGAUUCCUUAAUCAAGGCAGGCUAUUCUCUCACAUUAGUCCGAAAGAUCAUGCAGUCUAUUGGUUUCAUUGGACCUGGGGUGUCUUUGCUCUGCUUAAAUUUUGCCAAGACACCAGCGACUGCUGCUAUGUUCAUCACAGCAGCUCUGAGUUUGAGUUCUUUCAGCCAAGCUGGCUUUCUUCUUAAUAUGCAAGAUAUAGCUCCUCAGUAUGCAGGAUUCCUCCAUGGUAUUGCAAAUUCAGCUGGAACAUUCGCAGCAAUACUGAGUACAAUUGGAACAGGUUAUUUUGUUCAAUGGCUGGGGUCUUUUCAGGCAUUCCUGACGGUGACAGCAGGGCUCUAUUUUAUUACAACCAUCUUUUGGAAUGUGUUUGCGACAGGCGAGCGAGUUUUCUAGAGUAAUAAUUAUAUUCUCUUACAUUUAAUCAUGAAGAGCUGUUAGAAACAGGAUGAACAUAAGUUUGAUUAAAAAUUUUGAGCCCAAUGGGCAUUGAAAGUAUAAUAGAGUGGAGAAAGUGCCCAUGUCUAAUUCAUUCUUUGUUUUUACUCCUGCCAAAAGGAGUCUCAUAUCAGGUGCAAUAUAUGCCUUCUUUUAAUCCCUUCUGUUCCUAGAGUCAACGUGCAAAAGAAUUAAACUAUACUUAUGUGAUAAAUAUUAUAUGAAAUUCAGUACUAUUAUUUCUCUGCUCAUCACGAAGUUGUCUAAUUU
rnacentral:misc_RNA from 1 species